CAGUCGCCACGGUAAUACGAAGGGGGCUAGCGUUGUUCGGAAUUACUGGGCGUAAAGCGCACGUAGGCGGAUAUUUAAGUCAGGGGUGAAAUCCCAGAGCUCAACUCUGGAACUGCCUUUGAUGCUGGGUAUCUUGAGUAUGGAAGAGGUGAGUGGAAUUCCGAGUGUAGAGGUGAAAUUCGUAGAUAUUCGGAGGAACACCAGUGGCGAAGGCGGCUCACUGGUCCAUUACUGACGCUGAGGUGCGAAAGCGUGGGGAGCAAACAGGAUUAGAUACCCCUGUAGUCCCUGUCUCUUAUAC
rnacentral:rRNA from 1 species